rnacentral:rRNA from 1 species
GCCCAGACUCCUACGGGAGGCAGCAGUGGGGAAUAUUGCACAAUGGGGGAAACCCUGAUGCAGCGACGCCGCGUGAGCGAUGAAGUAUUUCGGUAUGUAAAGCUCUAUCAGCAGGGAAGAAGAUGACGGUACCUGACUAAGAAGCCCCGGCUAACUACGUGCCAGCAGCCGCGGUAAUACGUAGGGGGCAAGCGUUAUCCGGAUUUACUGGGUGUAAAGGGAGCGUAGACGGCGAUGCAAGCCAGAUGUGAAAGCCCGGGGCUCAACCCCGGGACUGCAUUUGGAACUGUGUGGCUGGAGUGUCGGAGAGGCAGGCGGAAUUCCUAGUGUAGCGGUGAAAUGCGUAGAUAUUAGGAGGAACACCAGUGGCGAAGGCGGCCUGCUGGACGAUGACUGACGUUGAGGCUCGAAAGCGUGGGGAGCAAACAGGAUUAGAUACCCCAGUAA